GAUGAACGCUGGCGGCGUGCCUAAUACAUGCAAGUCGAGCGAACGGACGAGAAGCUUGCUUCUCUGAUGUUAGCGGCGGACGGGUGAGUAACACGUGGCUAACCUACCUAUAGGACUGGGGUAACUUCGGGAAACCGGAGCUAAUACCGGAUAAUAUUUUGAACCGCAUGGUUCAAAAGUGAAAGACGGUCUUGCUGUCACUUAUAGAUGGAUCCGCGCUGCAUUAGCUAGUUGGUAAGGUAACGGCUUACCAAGGCAACGAUGCAUAGCCGACCUGAGAGGGUGAUCGGCCACACUGGAACUGAGACACGGUCCAGACUCCUACGGGAGGCAGCAGUAGGGAAUCUUCCGCAAUGGGCGAAAGCCUGACGGAGCAACGCCGCGUGAGUGAUGAAGGUCUUCGGAUCGUAAAACUCUGUUAUUAGGGAAGAACAUAUGUGUAAGUAACUGUGCACAUCUUGACGUUACCUAAUCAGAAAGCCACGGCUAACUACGUG
rnacentral:rRNA from 1 species